UGUUGGUGACCGACGAUUUGGCCUUGAA
rnacentral:piRNA from 1 species